UACGUAGGGGGCAAGCGUUGUCCGGAAUCAUUGGGCGUAAAGCGCGUGUAGGCGGCUUGGCAAGUCGGAUGUGAAAGCCCAGGGCUCAACCCUGGAAGUGCACUCGAAACUGCCGAGCUGGAGUCCCGGAGAGGAAGGCGGAAUUCUCGGUGUAGAGGUGAAAUUCGUAGAUAUCGAGAGGCACACCUGUGGCGAAGGCGGCCUUCUGGACGGUGACUGACGCUGAGACGCGAAAGCGUGGGGAGCAAACAGG
rnacentral:rRNA from 1 species